rnacentral:rRNA from 1 species
CCUACGGGGCGCAGCAGUCGAGAAUCAUUCACAAUGGGGGAAACCCUGAUGGUGCGACGCCGCGUGGGGGAAUGAAGGUCUUCGGAUUGUAAACCCCUGUCAUGUGGGAGCAAAUUAAAAAGAUAGUACCACAAGAGGAAGAGACGGCUAACUCUGUGCCAGCAGCCGCGGUAAUACAGAGGUCUCAAGCGUUGUUCGGAAUCACUGGGCGUAACGCGUGCGUAGGCUGUUUCGUAAGUCGUGUGUGAAAGGCGCGGGCUCAACCCGCGGACGGCACAUGAUACUGCGAGACUAGAGUAAUGGAGGGGGAACCGGAAUGCUCGGUGUAGCAGUGAAAUGCGUAGAUAUCGAGAGGAACACUCGUGGCGAAGGCGGGUUCCUGGACAUUAACUGACGCUGAGGCACGAAGGCCAGGGGAGCGAAAGGGAUUAGAUACCCGAGUAGUC